CCUACGGGAGGCAGCAGUGAGGAAUAUUGGUCAAUGGGCGCGAGCCUGAACCAGCCAAGUAGCGUGAAGGAUGACGGCCCUACGGGUUGUAAACUUCUUUUAUAAAGGAAUAAAGUGAGGCACGUGUGCCGUUUUGUAUGUACUUUAUGAAUAAGGAUCGGCUAACUCCGUGCCAGCAGCCGCGGUAAUACGGAGGAUCCGAGCGUUAUCCGGAUUUAUUGGGUUUAAAGGGUGCGUAGAUGGGUUGUUAAGUCAGUUGUGAAAGUUUGCGGCUCAACCGUAAAAUUGCAAUUGAAACUGGCAGCCUUGAGUACAGUUGAGGGAGGCGGAAUGCGUGGUGUAGCGGUGAAAUGCUUAGAUAUCACGAAGAACUCCGAUUGCGAAGGCAGCCUACUAAGCUGCCACUGACAUUGAUGCUCGAAAGUGUGGGUAUCAAACAGGAUUAGAUACCCGUGUAGUC
rnacentral:rRNA from 1 species